rnacentral:lncRNA from 1 species
UGUCGCCCAGGCUGCAGUGGCGUGAUCUCGGCUCACUGCAAGCUCCACCUCCCAAGUUCACGCCAUUCUCCUGCCUCAGCCUCCUGAGUAGCUGGGACUACAGGUGCCUGCCACCACACCCGGGUAAUUUUUUGUAUUUUUUAGUAGAGACAGGGUUUCACCGUGUUAGCCAGGAUGGUCUCGAUCUCCUGACCUUGUGAUCCACCCACCUCGGCCUCCCAAAGUGCUGGGAUUACAGGUGUGA